GGCUACAGCCAGAGCACCCUGAACAUUCCUGAUCUCAUUUCAUCUCAUCUCAGAAGCUAAGCAGGGUCAGGCCUGGUUAGUACUUGGAUGGGAGAAUGGUCAUGGGUUGACU
rnacentral:rRNA from 1 species